rnacentral:rRNA from 1 species
AUGGCAAUAGUCCAACGGUGGGGUAAACUGGAUUAUUUUAUCACAAUGACUUGCAGUCCACAUUGGGAGGAGAUAACCCAGAAUCUGAUGCCUGGACAACUGCCACAAGACCGUCCAGACCUUGUGGCAAGAGUAUACAAGGCUAAACAGCGAGAUAUGAUGGACUUGUUAACUAAGGGUAAGCAUUUCGGAGAAGUCGCAGCUUAUGUACAUGUCACAGAGUUUCAAAAAUGAGGCCUC